GUGUUCGUUGAGCCGAGAGAAGGUUAGCAUCUCCCUCGACAAGGACGGGAUUGCGCGUAUGCGUAUCCAACCACUGGAUGGUUUAAGCUCUGUCCUCCUCCGUGAAGACAUCUACCAGUUUUUUUU
rfam:Phytophthora sojae unplaced genomic scaffold PHYSOscaffold_2, whole genome shotgun sequence.